CCCCUAGAUGUUCUGGGCCGCACGCGCGCUACACUGAACAGUUCAACAAGUCUUAACCUUGGCCGAUAGGUCUGGGUAAUCUUUGAACGCUGUUCGUGAUUGGGAUAGACCUUUGCAAUUAUGGGUCUUCAACGAGGAAUUCCUAGUAAACGCAAGUCAUCAGCUUGCAUUGAUUACGUCCCUGCCCUUUGUACACACCGCCCGUCGCACCUACCGAUUGAAUGAUCCGGUGAAUAAUUCGGACUGCAGCACUGCUUGGUCUCCAGGCUUUGCAGCGGAAAGUUUAGUGAACCUUAUCACUUAGAGGAAGGAGAANUCGUANCA
rnacentral:rRNA from 1 species